rfam:Microbial mat metagenome hsmat03_BHWI4898_x1, whole genome shotgun sequence.
ACAAUCCAGCCCAUGCAAAGGCUAACCACCAGCAUGGAAUAGACCUACACGGCUUGAUGAGGUAACGAAUCAGUCGAAGCUGUAGGAAUAGCGGUUUAUCAGCCACAAUGCGAAAGCGUGAAGGUUACCAGCCCCGAAAUAAUCAUCGUUGCACAUGGCCAAGGGUUUCAUUUCCUGGAAGCCAGCAUCGUGUGGAUCGACAAGGUGAGAGCUACACGAAGUGCCGGGGUCUCAGACCG